rnacentral:misc_RNA from 1 species
AAAGGAUUCCCAUCCAGAUUUGCUUUGCCCCUCUAAACCAGAGAAAACACUAAUAUGUCCAGAUGCCUCUUUCUAUUCCCUGCUUUUUCUCUUUAUACUAUUUCCCAUCCCUUUUUUGCUAGUUGUCCCUCCACGUAAUCCAUCCUCCAUGAUUCCCUCCAACAGCCCAUUCAUUCUGUUAGCCAUCCUUCUAGAAUUCUCCUUGCUAAACUCCAUUUCCUAUCAGUUUCAAUUUGAUUUUAGAGCAUUCAAUUUCUCCUUCAACGAACCCUAGAAAGGAAGAAUU